rnacentral:rRNA from 1 species
AUUGAACGCUGGCGGCAGGCCUAACACAUGCAAGUCGAACGGUAACAGGAAGAAGCUUGCUUCUUUGCUGACGAGUGGCGGACGGGUGAGUAAUGUCUGGGAAACUGCCUGAUGGAGGGGGAUAACUACUGGAAACGGUAGCUAAUACCGCAUAACGUCGCAAGACCAAAGAGGGGGACCUUCGGGCCUCUUGCCAUCGGAUGUGCCCAGAUGGGAUUAGCUAGUAGGUGGGGUAACGGCUCACCUAGGCGACGAUCCCUAGCUGGUCUGAGAGGAUGACCAGCCACUCUGGAACUGAGACACGGUCCAGACUCCUACGGGAGGCAGCAGUGGGGAAUAUUGCACAAUGGGCGCAAGCCUGAUGCAGCCAUGCCGCGUGUAUGAAGAAGGCCUUCGGGUUGUAAAGUACUUUCAGCGGGGAGGAAGGGAGUAAAGUUAAUACCUUUGCUCAUUGACGUUACCCGCAGAAGAAGCACCGGCUAACUCCGUG